rnacentral:rRNA from 1 species
UGCAGUCGAGCGGAACGACUUAACUGAACCUUCGGGGAACGUUAAGGGCGUCGAGCGGCGGACGGGUGAGUAAUGCCUGGGAAAUUGCCCUGAUGUGGGGGAUAACCAUUGGAAACGAUGGCUAAUACCGCAUAAUAGCUUCGGCUCAAAGAGGGGGACCUUCGGGCCUCUCGCGUCAGGAUAUGCCCAGGUGGGAUUAGCUAGUUGGUGAGGUAAGGGCUCACCAAGGCGACGAUCCCUAGCUGGUCUGAGAGGAUGAUCAGCCACACUGGAACUGAGACGCGGUCCAGACUCCUACGGGAGGCAGCAGUGGGGAAUAUUGCACAAUGGGCGCAAGCCUGAUGCAGCCAUGCCGCGUGUAUGAAGAAGGCCUUCGGGUUGUAAAGUACUUUCAGCAGUGAGGAAGGUGGUGCAGUUAAUAGCUGUAUCAUUUGACGUUAGCUGCAGAAGAAGCACCGGCUAACUCCGUGCCAGCAGCCGCGGUAAUACGGAGGGUGCGAGCGUUAAUCGGAAUUACUGGGCGUAAAGCGCAUGCAGGUGGUUCGUUAAGUCAGAUGUGAAAGCCCGGGGCUCAACCUCGGAAUUGCAUUUGAAACUGGCGGACUAGAGUACUGUAGAGGGGGGUAGAAUUUCAGGUGUAGCGGG